rnacentral:rRNA from 1 species
UACGAAGGGGGCUAGCGUUGCUCGGAAUUAUUGGGCGUAAAGCGCACGUAGGCGGCAUUGCAAGUCGGAUGUGAAAUCCCUCGGCUUAACCAAGGAAGUGCAUCCGAAACUGCAGUGCUUGAGUACUUAAGAGGAUCGCGGAAUUCCCGGUGUAGAGGUGAAAUUCGUAGAUAUCGGGAGGAACACCAGUGGCGAAGGCGGCGAUCUGGGAAGAUACUGACGCUGAGGUGCGAAAGCGUGGGGAGCAAACAGG